CCGCCCGGGGCGCGCCCCGGGCGGGGCGGGGGCACGGGGGGAACGCGAAGAACCUUACCUGGUCUUGACAUAGUGAGAAUCCUGCAGAGAUGCGGGAGUGCCUUCGGGAAUUCACAUACAGGUGCUGCAUGGCUGUCGUCAGCUCGUGUCGUGAGAUGUUGGGUUAAGUCCCGCAACGAGCGCAACCCUUUUCCUUAUUUGCCAGCGGGUUAAGCCGGGAACUUUAAGGAUACUGCCAGUGACAAACUGGAGGAAGGCGGGGACGACGUCAAGUCAUCAUGGCCCUUACGACCAGGGCUACACACGUGCUACAAUGGUAGGUACAGAGGGUUGCUACACAGCGAUGUGAUGCUAAUCUCAAAAAGCCUAUCGUAGUCCGGAUUGGAGUCUGCAACUCGACUCCAUGAAGUCGGAAUCG
rnacentral:rRNA from 1 species